GGUGGAGUAAUAGCCUACCNAGGCAAUGAUCUAUAGCUGAUCUGAGAGGNUGAUCAGCCNCACUGGAACUGAGAUACGGUCCAGACUUCUACGGGAGGCAGCAGUGGGGAAUAUUGGACAAUGGGCGAAAGCCUGAUCCAGCCAUGUCGCAUGAGUGAAGAAGGCCUUUGGGUUGUAAAGCUCUUUUAGUGAGGAAGAUAAUGACGGUACUCACAGAAGAAGUCCUGGCUAACUCCGUGCCAGCAGCCGCGGUAAUACGGAGAGGGCUAGCGUUAUUCGGAAUUAUUGGGCGUAAAGGGCGCGUAGGCUGAUUAAUAAGUUAAAAGUGAAAUCCCGAGGCUUAACCUUGGAAUUGCUUUUAAAACUAUUAAUCUAGAGAUUGAAAGAGGAUAGAGGAAUUCCUGAUGUA
rnacentral:rRNA from 1 species